CGGAACUAACAGAUUUACUUCGGUAAUGACGUUAGGAAAGCGAGCGGCGGAUGGGUGAGUAACACGUGGGGAACCUGCCCCAUAGUCUGGGAUACCACUUGGAAACAGGUGCUAAUACCGGAUAAGAAAGCAGAUCGCAUGAUCAGCCUUUAAAAGGCGGCGUAAGCUGUCGCUAUGGGAUGGCCCCGCGGUGCAUUAGCUAGUUGGUAAGGUAAAGGCUUACCAAGGCGGUGAUGCAUAGCCGAGUUGAGAGACUGAUCGGCCACAUUGGGACUGAGACACGGCCCAAACUCCUACGGGAGGCAGCAGUAGGGAAUCUUCCACAAUGGACGCAAGUCUGAUGGAGCAACGCCGCGUGAGUGAAGAAGGUUUUCGGAUCGUAAAGCUCUGUUGUUGGUGAAGAAGGAU
rnacentral:rRNA from 1 species